AAGCCCUGACAUCAUAAAGAAAACUGCAAUUCACAUCACUAAGGCUAAUGUCACCCAAAGAUAACUUGCUAUUUUAAAUAACAUGGAAACUGCAUUGGGAUGACAGAUAAGUAUAACAAUCCAUUUUAUUUUUAACUGCUUUUGAUGUGUUCCAGACUUUGAAUAUUCAGACAGAAGAAUAAUGGAAAAGUUAUUUUUUCCCCUUAAAUCACACCUCCACACCCCAAACUACUAUUCCUCCACCCUCACCUCUGAACUUUUUGAACAAAAUUGAUGGAUCAAACUCUCCUUUUCCUGCCAGGAGAAUAGUCCUGGACUGAGCUUCAGAAGAUCUCAGAUCACUGAUGUUCUGUCUAGAAGAAUACUCCAAGAUAUAUUUCUAAGUAAUAUUCCUUCUCUUGUUGGGGGAAAUUAGAGAAGAUUUCUACCUGGUGCCAUAUCAACUCAAGGAUGGAGUCAAAUACUGAGAGGCUCUGUCAUCUGUCUUUGGAUCUCCUUCUUCUCUUAGUUUGUUGAAGAAAGGAUGUAUGUCCGAUUCCUCUGCAGUUUCCUGAAAUUCUGGAUACAUAAUGUCACAUAAAUUAGAAAAUAGAAGACUAGAAAGCAGUUUAUGCAUGGCCACACAAAAAUGGAAGGAGCCUCGAACUAGUGAUAUGUCUCUCUUGACAGAGGACCAUUAUGUGAUUCUUAUUAAAAUGCC
rnacentral:lncRNA from 1 species